UUUAAUUCGAAGCAACGCGCAGAACCUUACCAGCCCUUGACAUGGGCGUCGCGGGUGGAGAGAUCCACCUUUCGGUUCGGCCGGACGCCGCACAGGUGCUGCAUGGCUGUCGUCAGCUCGUGUCGUGAGAUGUUGGGUUAAGUCCCGCAACGAGCGCAACCCCCAUCCUCAGUUGCCAGCACGUAGUGGUGGGCACUCCGGGGAAACCGCCGGUGACAAGCCGGAGGAAGGCGGGGAUGACGUCAAGUCCUCAUGGCCCUAUGGGCUGGGCUACACACGUGCUACAAUGGUGGUGACAGUGGGCAGCGAGAUCGCGAGAUCGAGCCAAUCUCCAAAAGCCAUCUCAGUUCGGAUCGCACUCUGCAACUCGGGUGCGUGAAGUUGGAAUCGCUAGUAAUCGCGGAUCAGCACGCCG
rnacentral:rRNA from 1 species